rnacentral:lncRNA from 1 species
UUCAGUCUCUAAGUUUUGUUAAAAAUAUCCGAAUUAGAAGGUCUCAACUGAACCUUCCUCGUAUCUCAUCUGUCUAUCUUCGGUCACCUCAAACCGCCGCUGGAAAUCGUCCUACGGCGGCGGCAAGUCUUCAAUUUUAACAAACAUUACACCAUAGACUCACAAUAACACGCUCUCCUCAAAUUUCGAACCAGCUUUCAUCAAAUCCAGUUGAAACACCUCAAAUCAUAGAUCUAAACGUCCACCCCCUAAGUCCUCCAGACUUGAACUCAUCAUGCAAAGGGCUUGGGUUCUUGCCAUCCUAUGUUUUGAAGACAAUUUGGGCCCGAGACAAGUGUCAGGCGACUUUUCCCACAAGAACAGUCGUAUAACUCCCCUUUUGGUUAAAAUCAGAGGAGCUGGGGUUCGAGUAGCCUGAGUCGUUCUUCACUUAGGUAUUUCUCUUCGUAUUCUUUUCUUCUCCCUAUUUUCACUUCCGUUUCCAGUCUUUCCUCGUUUCUUUUGUUGUUUUUCACCACUUCCUCCUCCGUUAUCGUCUUUUGUUUAUCUAUUUCUCUCUUACUAUUUUGAAAAUUUCUUUAAGAUUGAGUCGUGUUAGUAUGACGAUUAGCAUCGAUUUAGGUUUAUCAUUGUUAAUUUUUGUAUCCAGAUUUCUUUGAACUUCGUGUGCUAGAUUUGAGUUUCUUGAUUAAUCUGAGAUUCGCUAUACUGUAAUGGGUAUUAAAUUAAUUCAAUAUUGUUUAGUUGGGUUGAUUCAUCAGGCUCUGUUUUCAUUAUUGGGUAAAGGUUUUGGGUUAUAAUUGUGGGAGGUUCUUAAUGGGGUAAGAUGUUGGGCCUUUGAGUUUCUUAGCCCGUACCAGAAACAACUUUAGAGCUCUAUUUGUUUGGUUUGGGCUGGCCCAUAUAAGUUUUGGUUUUCUGGAGGUAAUAACAGGGUUGUGGGGGUAAACCUCACCCAUACCCAUUUAGUUACUGAAGAUUAAAAUGAAUAAGAAAACAGGGGAACUUGGGGCGGUAAUUUAGGAAGUUUAGGAUAAUAGAAUCUUAGUGUAACUGAUCUGGAAACUGCAAGUGAGGGGUCUUAGGGAAAUUUCAGACUUAUAGUUAUUAGCUUGGGCAUCAUGUCAAAAUUUGAGUGACUGAAUGCAAACUUAAAAAUCUGAGAUGCCCUACUUUAUGAUAUAUAAAUAGACCAUUCCUUGCCUUUGAGGGCAGAUUUUGAAAAAAGAAAAAAAAGGCCUGAAGAUAUAAAAAUCCUGGAAAAUACCAAUGGUUGAAAAAGUCUAAAAAAGCUGUUCCAUUGCAUUAUAUCUGUGACAUUUUCUUCAAUUUUUAAACCAAUUUCUGACUCAUUUCGCGUUAGAAAUGGAGUACGUUUGGUGAAGUCUACUGGGCUCUUGUUCAAUUGAAGCUGUUUUUCUUGUGGAUUACUGCACAUAAAUUUUUAGGUCGGAAGCUGAUUUUAGUGGUUGUUUCUACUAUUGCUUCAUACUAUUGUCACUGCUGACACUUCCCCUUCUGUUUCUUUCCAUUUCCAGGUACCCUUUCUGAAACUAUGGUUGGAACUUGAGCUUGGUUGUUGAGUCUUAUGUAAAGGUUUAUGAAUCAAAUUGUUUGAAUGGAACACAGUAUUUUGACAUAGUGAAAUUGCUGCAUUUACCACAUUCUGGUCCUUUAUUCAGUCUAAUUUGCUUGGAUUUCUCUUUCAUAGGCAUUUAGUAUUAGAUAUUGGAUUUGAAUUGGUUUUGAUGUUAGAGGUUUAAAGGUACUUUAGUUGAAACUUGUAAUAAUUAAGGACUAAUGUUGUUGAUUGAUUACGGAAACUAGUUGGUUUUCAGUUUGUAUUGGUUAUAGCAAUAAGUUAAGUGUAGGUUGACUUAGAAUAAUUGGUAUCAUCAAUUUAAUGUCACUUUGUUCUCCUAUCAAUUUUGCUCAGGUUUGCGUCUAUAUGGUGUGAAACAUGGUCUAGUGUUCUCAUGGUCUAAGGCCGGUUCUCCCUUCAUACGUGUUCUGAGUUUUUAUUUUCCGGAUUUAUGAAAAGGGUCUUAAAGUGGGUUGAAUCUGGAUUCAGGCUUGGCUAGUCCCAGGCUUAAACUUGGUUUUAGUUCGUUUUCUCUAAGACUUGCGAAUCAUGUAUGAUCUUAGUAGUUUGUUUUGAAUUUAAGCUAUAGGGUGUAUUGAUUGCAUAAUUUUGUGAAAAGUAGGAGUUUUCACUUGACUUCGUGUCAUAGCAUGGUCCUCUUUUGUUUUUGUCAGAUUUAUAUCAAUAGUUCUAUUUCUGGCAUGAUUGUGAUUUCAAAUUGGUGUUUCCUUUUGUUGACCAAAUUGAGUUAAGCCAAUUGUUGCAUGGCAACCUACUGCUUCUGCCGUAAUUGAUCUCAAUAGAAGCAUUGUUCUUCAGUGCUCAUGAUUGUCCUAAAAUUCGUUUGAUGUUAUGUUUGUUUUGUUCAAGUGUCUUGUAAAUGGAUUUGUGUUAGUUUGUUUGAUCUGUAUUUUUCUAAGAAUUUGUUUUGAAUGAAUGUCCAGUGAGGCCCUUGGAUUUGGAUUCAUUAAUUUUCAAGAAUUAGAGUUAGAUGGACAUAGUAAUUUAAACAAGAUCAGUGAUGGGUUAAUUGAUUUUUUUGGCCUAGUUCAACGAGAGCUAUAGUAAUCUGAUCCUUGCAAAUAGACGUAGCUAGCCAAUUCUUCUUGGGAACAGGUCCUUGGAAGGUCGAUUCCCCUUAAACUCGGGCUUAUAAAAUUGAGCCCAACUCUGCAAUUAAGCACGAAUGGGAUUGGGCCCCUUCACAUUAAUAUCAUCAAUAUUCAUGGCUGAUUAAUAUUCGUAGCAAGCCUUUAGGGCCGCUUAAAUACAAUUGCGGUUGCGUAUACCUUCGCAACAUUAUUCUAAAUUAAUUCUUUCAUGCAACUUUGCUUAAUAUUUUCUUAAUAAUAAAGAUGGUUCCAAGCUUUUGAUUAUUUUAAGCUCAUUAAAAUCACAUAUGGCCUUUUAAUAAUUUCGUAGGAUAGAUAAAAAUAAUAUUUCGUAGAAUAUCCUUUACGGCCGUUUAAAAAUAUCAAGUGUGGUUGCGUAUACGUUCGCGUAACAUAACUACAUUUCUAAAAAUGAAAAUCGGAGUAUGCGUUCGUGCAACUUCGGCCCAAACACUCUUAAUAAUAAUAAGUGUUAUUAAUUGUUGACACGUUCGAGUGACAUGAUUUUUGACUCAUCAAUCAACGAGUAUACGUAUGCAUAACCUAUUUCAAGAUAAUUUUCUAAUUAAGAGAGGUAAAAGGCAUAAGCACAUAGGUUCUAAAAUUAUUAAUUAAGUAAUUCAGUCAAGCCAAGUAGGAUCAAAGCGACCGUGCUAGAACCACGGAACUCGGGAGUGCCUAACCCCUUCUCCCGGGUUAACACAAUUCCUUAUCAGGAUUUUUGAUUCGCAGACUAUAAUAACAUAGUCAUUCUUUUCUUGAUUCGGCUUUUUAAACUUGUGACUUGGGACACCAUAAUUUAUCCCAAAUGGUGACUCUUAUUUUUAAUAAUUAAUCCCGUUUUGAUUGUCACUUAAAUUGGGAAAAACUCCCUUUAUUAUGACCUUCCGGGAGAGUAGUGAAAAAGGAGGUGUGACAUAUGUUGCAUUUCAUAUUUUCAUGCUAUCUAAUUACUUAUCUGUUAUAGCAUUUCCAUAAUUGUUGUUAUUGGUUUACUGAUCGAACUCUAUCAGGUUCAAGUUGCUGUAUUUAUUGAAUUACCUUGUGCCUCUUCAGGAUUUCUUAUUCUCAGCCCUUAUUUAUGUUUAUUACUCACUAGGUCGGAGUACUCACAUUACUUCCUGCACCUUGCAUGCAGAUCCAGGUACAUCUCAGGCUGAGAGAUGAUUUUUCUACCGAGCAGUUUAUUCGGGAGCAUCAAGGUAGCUGUAUGACAUCCGCAGUCCGGAUCUUCCUUCUACCUUAUUUGCUUUAUUUUCACUUUUCUUUAGAUCUAUAUGUAGUAGGUUGGUACUCAUGUAAUAGAGGCUCAGACUUAUGACACCAGAUUCUUCGGGCUGAGUAGUUAUUUUAUACUUGGGUUUGCAAUAUGUUUUAUUUAUAUUUCAGAGUUCAGUAUUAUAACUUGGUAAUUAUUCGUGUUGAUUGAAUCAUGACUGUAUAAUAAGGGGGCUAAGGUUAUGGAAUUGGUUAGUCUUGCCUAGCAGUGUGUUGGGCGCCAUCACGACCGGGGUUGAGAUUGUGACAAGUUGGCAUUAGAGCUUAGGUUACUUGGUCUCGUGAGUCAUGAGCCGGUUUAGUAAAGUCUCGUGGAUUGGUACGGAGACGUCUGUAUUUAUCCUCGGGAGGCUGCAGAAUCUUUAGGAAAACUUUACAUUCUUGAAAUUCUUGUCGUGCGGCUUUGUUGAACUAAUAACUAAAAUUCUAAUAUUGUAUUCUCUCACAGAUGGUAAGGACACGAGCUACCGAACAUGGCAAAUGGCCACCAGUGUCACCUACUAAGGCCACCAGAGGCCGUGGACGUGGUCGUGG